CUUUGCAGACCUCUCAAACCAAGGGCAGCAGGAAAAAAAUUGUAAUCCGUUUGCUUUGCCUAUAAAACAUUUUGAAGGGCCAGCCCUCUCCUCUACUGCAGAAAGAAGUACAGUACUGGGGAAAGAUCCAUUUAGCACUAGCAGGUGCAGCCAAAUGAGCCACAGCUGCAUAGGUGAUCACCAGGGAAUUGCUGUGCCUCAUUUGCCUAAAUGAUUCACUCUCAGACCCAUGAGACUUUCCCUUCCCCCAAAAGAAUGUUUCUCUGCAGAGAGGUCGAUGAAAUUUACUGACUGAGGGUAAAUGCUCCAUCUGUGGGGGGAGCGCCGGGCAGAAGGACAUGGAUCUUCCAGCUAGUUCUCCAAAAGAAAAGACUCCAGCUUAUGAAAAUGUGGGCUGAUGUCGCCUGCAAGCAGAUAAGUGCCUCUCUGCGAGGUGCAGAGCUGCCGGGGCGGGGCUCCUUUGCCUGCCUGAACAGAAGAGACGGACACAGCCAGGUGGGCUACAUCACAUUAUACAAAGGCCUGGGCAUCAACAAAGCCUUUAAGGAGGCUGCCCAUUCCUCGCUCACCCUCCCACCCUUUAAGGUAAGGUUGGCUGGUUGCUUUGGGUCCAGAUGGGAAUUUUUGGCUGGCACUUCAAUUGGCCAGGAGUGCCAGUGGUUUUUUUGCCCAUCUCAUUCUUACCUGCGAGGGCGGUUUGUGGCUAUGCUUUAAAAUUGUC
rnacentral:lncRNA from 1 species